UUAAAGGAACACUAUAGGCACCAAGACCACUUCAUCUCGUUGAAGUGGUUUGGGUGCAGUGCCUAUGUCCCCCUUAGCCCUGCAAUGUGAAAUAUUGCAGUUUCUGAGGAACUGCAAUAAUUACCUUGCAAGGUUAUCUCAUCCUCUAUUGGCUGUCUAGCAGAGACCAACUACAUGAAGUGACACUGGACAUCCUCACGCUUUGCAUGAGGACAACCAGCGUCUUUAAAAAAGCUAUCGAAAAGCCUUGUGUUAAUGCUUUCCAAUGUGGAAGCCCAAAUGUGUGCGCAGGAGGGACCUGAUGUUGCCGGAGCCUGACCCAACAAUCAGGUAACUGACAAAAAGGGUGAAGAGGGUGUUAGAAAUACAGUUUGAUAUUCCUAGCACCAUAGGUUUCCUUUAAAAAAAGUCUUUACCCCAUUUCUAAAUUUAUAUAGGUUCCUAAAACAUCUAUAACGCCAAAAAGGCACUCCAAUCUGUGUUCAACAAUAGAACCUGAGGUCUUUGUUUUUUGUUU